GGCACAACGGCUGGGAGAGGAAACUUGAUGCUUCUGGGCCACCAUUUGCCAGGGCCUCGCUCGAGGUAAGCACACUGGGGUCCCGCGGAGUCCGUACCUGUCAGGGUCCAGCCCCCGCCCAUAGCCGAGAGAUGGGCACCCUUACCUGGGCUAUUCAAAUAAUGAUCAAAAUGGAACGGGGAUGGGAUGCGGGUGAGGGAGUGCUCCAGCCGGAGGGCCCGGGGCCCAGAGGAUGAUGUGCGCCUGGAAGCUUGGACCCCGGGCUCUUGCCCCUGGGCACCUUGUGCCUCCAGCCAAGGUUCCGAGCGACUGCGUGGGGCUCCAGCUAUCCGAUUUCCCUUCCUAAGUCGCGCGUUCGACAGCUCCCUCCUUUACACACCCGCGUGCAAAUGAGCCGCUGCUCUGUCAUGAAGUGAGAAUGUGAGCCUCUUUCAAACCCUAGAAAAGGAAAGUUUGGUAAGGCGGGGGCUGCGCAGAUCUGCUGUUCUCUGGAACCUAAACUGGGAACCCUAGACUUGCGCAGAAAAUUAAUAGUUUUCCAUUUUUCUUUAAAAAAAUUAACUUCAACGAAAAAUUGUGUGUAUUCAAAAAAAUUAUUGGAUUACCAUGUCUGAUCAGCUGCUGAUGACCUACCAAUAAGCGUUUUAAACACACAUGCACAUUCACGCGUGCGCGCGCGCGCGUACACACACACACGCGCGCAUACACACACACACACACACACACACACACACACACCCCAGGGGCUAUGUGCAGUGAGGAAGGCCGUCAUAAGUAACUAAGAAUUCAGAGGGAGUCGCAAGGGCUUUUAAGUGUGUAAAGGCUGUGUACGUGUCCUCCUUGUUACAGAGAGCAGAGGGAGGGGGCAGAGGGAAUGAGCGUCGGCUCGGCGUUUUCGCUGUGCCUGUGUGUUUCGCGUGUUGUCAGCUGGCUCUGGUUUCUAAGGGCUGAGCGCUGCCAGGGGCGGGGGCCAGCAUCCACCAUCCACCUCGGCACCCUAGUGGUGAAACAGGACUCAUUUGUUUGGUGCAGAGCGGUGACGACCUAGAAGAGACUGGAGUGUGGUUAGGUCGGCCCCCUGCCAUCCAUUACACCUGCGGCAGAUGGCUCAAGUGGUAGAAUGGUUUUGUUUGCCGAGAUCAAGAAAGGAGGAGGGGAAAGCUAGAGCCUCGCCCCACUCAAAAGAAGUACCAUAAAGAGCCAAAGAAAUGAAAGAAGCCAUAUUCGUACCAUCAAAAGCAAGAAUGUUGCUGCCUUCCAGGAGUUAACCUGGACACGUUAGUGACUUUGGUACCUGGCCCGAAUUGAUAACGACUGAAUUUUAGAACCAACAUUUUUCAAAUGUAUUUUUGAUGAAAUGCCUACUUCUCCCUACACACACACACACACACACACACACAACACACACACACCUAUCUCCAGGCAGAUGCACACAGGUGUCCUUGGAGCUCUACUCCCUGAAGCCAAAUGUCAGUAAGAUCCUGCGGAUUUCCAGAUGAAGGAAGCCUCUUGUCUCCCCCCACUUUUUUCAGUCGGCCUGCUAGCUUCCACACACAAGCCCCUCUCGCAAGACAACCACCUGGCUGAAAUUUAGCCAGGUGUCAAAUGUAUCCAUCUCAUUUUCACGUGCAAUAAUGUGCCUUUCUGAUCAAUCUUCACAUCCUUGCAUCCAUUCCUUCCUCCCUGCUACUCAAGAAGCAAGAAAGGAGCACACACAUCCUCCCAGGCAGUCCAGAGGAAAGGCAGGCGUGACAAAGAACACAGACACAGUCUAAUGACAAUUUAGCCUGUCUUCUAUUCCUUGACUUUCUUGUUAAAUAAGAGGAAUGAAAAGAAAAAUAUAUUGAGGGAGACCUAAACAGAAAGCCUUGUAAGCCUUGUCUCCUCCCUUACUUCACACAGUCAUCACGAUAACACCCAUAUACAAAUUACCUUUAUGAAUAUGCUUAUUCACAUUUAAUGUGAAAUAAAAAAUUAUUUUGCUGGCCUAAUUUUCUGUACUGAACAGUAAACAUUCCUUCUACUAGAGUUUAAUACACUAAUGCUUUGGGGAUGACUAGCAUGAAGAGAAAUUCCACAAUUUUUGAAACAGAAAUUCUAUUUUUCUAUCUUCUUUAAUGUCAAAUCAACAUUUUUUAGUUAGUAAAACCAAAGAAUAUCAAACAAUGAGAGUCCUUUCUAGCUAAGAUUUUGGAGUCACAAAUAAAGCUACAUCCUAAAAAGCCAAAAGGAAAGGAAAAAAAAAUCAACCCCUGCAUUUAUCAAGGUGCUUUAAAUACCCAAAGACACCUCUGAACUGGGUUUUGUUGAUGGGUGCUUGUUGUGUGCCCAGUGUAAUUUUUUAAUAAAUAUUUUCCUGUGCUAUGAAUGUUUCCAUUUUUAUAAGGAGAAAGCUGACUUUGAAAUGCAGUGGGAAACAGGAUUUGCCAAGAAAAAAUGCCAGUAGGAUAAAGCCCAAUUUUAUUAUUAAUAAUAUAGGUUUAUUUGUAUAUCAUACAAACUGCUAAGAGUCUCUUCUUCGAUGUGAAUUCCUGUAUUAUCAGGACACAGUCAAAUCCACUUGUAAGAAAAUUUAAAAAGAAAAAAAAUACUUGCAGAACAGAGUUGAAAUACAGGUUUCCUGGGCCUUUUAGUGAUUUCUUUUUAAGAGGGAGAGAGAGGGGGACCUGACCUAAAACUCCUGGCUUUAGAGACACUAAAAGCUUCCAAUUGUAUUUAAAUAAAACAGAA
rnacentral:lncRNA from 1 species